rnacentral:rRNA from 1 species
ACGGGGUAGUAACGGGUAGGUGACGUACCCUCGGGUUGGGGAUAGCCACGGGAAACUGUGGGUAAUACCCAAUAAUCUCCUGGAGUCGGAAGACUUCGAGAGCAAAGGUGUGAUUCCACCGGAGGAGCGGCCUGCUUCGUAUUAGCUAGUUGGUGAGGUAACGGCUCACCAAGGCAUCGAUGCGUAGGGGGUGUGAGAGCAUGACCCCCACCACUGGGACUGAGAUACUGCCCAGACACCUACGGGUGGCUGCAGUCGAGAAUCUUCGGCAAUGGGCGCAAGCCUGACCGAGCGACGCCGCGUGUGGGAUGAAGGCCCUUGGGUUGUAAACCACUGUCAGAGGGGAUGAAGUGCAGGAGAGCUAUCUCUCCUGUUUGACAUAGCCUCAGAGGAAGCACGGGCUAAGUUCGUGCCAGCAGCCGCGGUAAUACGAACUGUGCAAACGUUAUUCGGAAUCACUGGGCUUACAGGGUGCGUAGGCGGCUUGCUAAGUAGGGUGUGAAAGCCCCCGGCUUAACCGGGGAAUGGCGCCCUAAACUGGCGAGCUGGAGUGAGAUAGGGGUGUGCGGAACUUCCGGUGGAGCGGU